AAUCAAUCAUCAGUUAAUCUCUUUCUUGCAGAGGCCGUGCAGUUCUUCUCUUCUUGGUCCUCGUCCUCCGUCAAGAGAGGCCUCCAUGUCCUCUCUCAAGAACAUUGCCGCACUGAAUCCUCUUCUGGUUCUUGAUUGCUGUGCCGUCGUGUCGCACGUCGGGAGUGAGUAGCUAGAUGCAGUAAUGAUAGUAAUGGACACAACUCAGUGACAGUCACUUUUAUUUUAUGUUGUUGGCUUAGUAGGGGUAAGUUAAUUUGCGUCUGGUUUUUUGGAGACUCGGUCUUACUUGGCACCAACUCAAACUAACUAUAGAAUAGAGGGAGCCUGUAUAUGGAGAUGUCAGCUUUGGGACUUUUGCCGUUUUGAAUUGAUGCAGGAUAUGGAUGUUAUCUGUGAUGCUGCAAUGGCCAUGGUCAAUUUAAGAUCUAGACAAGAGAAUCGAGGAUUAGAAGGUUUGAUAAUUGGUUUUACCUUCACAUUCGAUUGAUUUGUUUUACUGUCCUUUGCAGUAGGAAAAUUAAGGAAGCUUAAGCUGACUAUGACUAUGUUAAUUUUAAUUUGAAAGACGAUUUCCCAAAAAAAAUAGCUUGUCUGAUUUUUGGGGGAUUGGAUGUUAAGCUGGUCGACAUAAUAAUUUUUGAGAGAUAAGCACCAUUCCUGGGUCUUUAUCUAAUAGAUGGUUGAAUAAAUAGUGAUUCAAGGUUUGAAAUGUAGGUAUCCCUCCCCUUUCAUUUUCAACAUGGACAAAUAAUUUUUUGGAAAUUGAAUGCUUUCAAAUUUGCCAUGAGAGAAGAUUUGGAUGAAGGUUGUCAAAAUUGAAAUUCACUUUACUAGAGGAAGAGAAAAAAAUGCAGCUUACAUGCUGGACCUGUUGAUAGAAGGUUUUUACCUUCACAAUUUGGGUAACACCAAUUAUCAAACCUUCUAACCCUCAUAAAGAUACCAAGAAGGCAGCUUUGUUCCAUUAACUUGACACAGAUUAAUAAUCCUUGAAGAUUGUGGCAUAUGUCUCCCAAUUACAAACACUCUAUAUCUGCAUACUUUUGCUAGAAAUCAAUUUAUCUGACUUGAACGUAAUAUGAAUGUUAUCUGUGAUGCUGCAUUGGCCAUGGUCAAUUUAAGAUCUAGUCAAGAGAGAGGAUUAGAAGGUUUGAUAAUUGGUGUUACCUUCACGUUCGAUUGAUUUGUUUUACUGUCCUCUGCAGUAGGGAAAUUAAGGAAGCUUAAGGUGACCAUGACUAUGUUGAUUUUAAUUUGAAAGAUGAUUUCCUAAAAAAAAUAGCUUGUCUGAUUUUUGGGGGAUUGGAUGUUAAACUGGUUGACAUAAUAUUUUUUGAGAGAUAAGCACCAUUCCUGGGUCUUCAUUAGAUGGUUGAAUAAAUAGUGAUUCUAAGGUUUGAAAUGUAGCUAUCCCUCCCCCCUUUCAUUUUCAACAUGGACAAAUUAUUUGUUGGAAAUUGAAUGGUUUCAAAUUUCCCAUGAGAGAAGAUUUGGAUGAAGCUUGUCAAAAUUGAAAUUCACUUUUCUAGAGGACAAGAAAAAAAUGGCAGCUUACAUGUUGGACCUGUUGAUGGAAGGUUCUUACCUUCACAAUUUGGGUAACACCAAUUAUAAAAUAUUCUAACCCUCAUAAAGAUACAAGAAGGCAGCUUUCUUCCAUGAAGACGACACAGAUUAAUAAUCUUUGAAGAUUGUGGCAUAUGUCUCCCAAUUGCAAACACUCUAUAUGUGCAUACUUUUGCUAGAAAUCUCCAAGGUGUACAUUUGAAAGCUGCAAAUCGAUAGAGUUAUGAGCAAAGUGAAUGUCUGUUAAAAACAAAUUCACUGUUAAUAUGAUUUAAGCAGGAAAAGAUGCUACCUGUUAGAAAAAUCUUAAGAUUAAAACAUGUCCACCUUUUAAUUCUGUUUUAUUUUA